rnacentral:rRNA from 1 species
UUGCCCUAGUAACGGCGAGUGAAGCGGCAACAGCUCAAAUUUGAAAUCUGGCUUCGGCCCGAGUUGUAAUUUGCAGAGGAAGCUUUAGGCGCGGCACCUUCUGAGUCCCCUGGAACGGGGCGCCAUAGAGGGUGAGAGCCCCGUAUAGUUGGAUGCCUAGCCUGUGUAAAGCUCCUUCGACGAGUCGAGUAGUUUGGGAAUGCUGCUCAAAAUGGGAGGUAAAUUUCUUCUAAAGCUAAAUACCGGCCAGAGACCGAUAGCGCACAAGUAGAGUGAUCGAAAGAUGAAAAGCACUUUGAAAAGAGGGUUAAAUAGCACGUGAAAUUGUUGAAAGGGAAGCGCUUGUGACCAGACUUGCGCCGGGCGGAUCAUCCGGUGUUCUCACCGGUGCACUCCGCCCGGCUCAGGCCAGCAUCGGUUCUCGCGGGGGGAUAAAGGUCCCGGGAACGUGGCUCCUCCGGGAGUGUUAUAGCCCGGGGCGUAAUGCCCUCGCGGGGACCGAGGUUCGCGCAUCUGCAAGGAUGCUGGCGUAAUGGUCAUCAGCGACCCGUCUUGAAACACGGACCAAGGAGUCAAGGUUUUGCGCGAGUGUUUGGGUGUAAAACCCGCACGCGUAAUGAAAGUGAACGUAGGUGAGAGCUUCGGCGCAUCAUCGACCGAUCCUGAUGUUUUCGGAUGGAUUUGAGUAGGAGCGUUAAGCCUUGGACCCGAAAGAUGGUGAACUAUGCUUGGAUAGGGUGAAGCCAGAGGAAACUCUGGUGGAGGCUCGCAGCGGUUCUGACGUGCAAAUCGAUCGUCAAAUCUGAGCAU